GCAACAAACAGGCAAGAAAUGCAGCAGGGGAGGGGUUGCCCUCCUGGAGGAAUGAAGAAAGAUGUCCCAGCACCAGCAGCUCUGCCACUGCCAGCCCCAGGCAGAACACAAAGACAAGGCAUCCCAGGCCAGGAGACAACCGCAACAUUCAAGCUACCCCAUGAAAUAAAACGGGAGACUGAUAUUACAAGUAUUAAAAUGCACACUUAAAUGCAAAAAUGGAACGCCUCAUUUGUAUUACAACACUUUAAAAGAAAGGUUUCAACUUGAUGCCAAAAUAAUAAAAGGCAAGGGGGCAUUCCAAAAUUAGGGCCCCACCAGAGAGAGCUCCUCUUCCUUCUGGGUAGCAAACAAGCUCAUUUUCAAAAGAAAAAUGGAAAUUAUCUGCACAGAUAGAUCUUUUGGCCCAGGGAAAGGAAGCUCCUUCAGAAAUUUAGGGAUAGAUGAAGGGCAGGCCAUGAGACUCAAGAGGAAGCACAUCAUCUCAAAACAAACAGCAGAUAUUCUGAAACUCUACACAAUUCAGGAGUGAGUAAUCUCAGGGCUAAACCCACUUUUUUGAAUCCCUCCCAAAAUGUAUUAGCCCCAGCUGACAAAGCCUCUCACUACAGCAAUGGGGAAUUGAAUGUGGAAUCUGAGACAAGCCAUGCCGUACCUAAACAAUGGCGAGGACAACUGGUACAGCCCAACAAAGGCAGCAAUGAAAGUAAAAGUCUUCCCCCCCCCUUUCUAAUGCAGGGGUCUCCAAACUCGGCAACUUUAAGACUUGUGGACUUUAACUCUCAGAAUUUCUCUGCCAACAGAAUUUCAGCUGCCCAAACGAAAAAACCAGAAUGAGCUUCCGCUUUUCUUCAAGGCAGUGAAUUAAUACAUGGUGUAAUGCAACGGGGUUGUGGGGAGGGUCACGAAAGCAUGUAUGGCUGUGGCUCCUCUUCUGACCUUUGGCAAACCGAGGGAAGAUGGAAAAAAGGCCUGAGCCAGGCCAGCCAUUAGAGCAGGAUCGUCCACCACAGGUCCAACGACAUUCAACUCCCGGGCUUGCUUAUUCAGACAGACCUCUUUGGGGAAAUAAAUUAUGCUCCCACUGUC